ensembl:snoRNA
UGGAUCGAUGAUGACGGCUGGUGGCGUAUGAGUCGUAUACGAUGAAUGCUACGUGUCUGGAACUCUGAGGUCCAA